CCCAGCAUGCUGGUAGGAGGACAUUACACAAAUAUGAAGGCGGGCUGGAACCUCUCGGGGUUACAGCCUUGCUGAAUUAUUCACCCUUGUCUUUUGCGUACUUCUUGUUUCCUUGGUGGGUUCGCCCACCACUAGGACAAACAUAAACCUUUUGUAAUUGCAAUCAGCGUCAGUAACAAAUUAAUAAUUACAACUUUCAACAACGGAUCUCUUGGUUCUGGCAUCGAUGAAGAACGCAGCGAAAUGCGAUAAGUAGUGUGAAUUGCAGAAUUCAGUGAAUCAUCGAAUCUUUGAACGCACAUUGCGCCCUUUGGUAUUCCAAAGGGCAUGCCUGUUCGAGCGUCAUUUGUACCCUCAAGCUUUGCUUGGUGUUGGGCGUCUUGUCUCUAGCUUUGCUGGAGACUCGCCUUAAAGUAAUUGGCAGCCGGCCUACUGGUUUCGGAGCGCAGCACAAGUCGCACUCUCUAUCAGCAAAGGUCUAGCAUCCAUUAAGCCUUUUUUUUCAACUUUUGACCUCGGAUCAGGUAGGGAUACCCGCUGAACUUAAGCAUAUCAAA
rnacentral:rRNA from 1 species